GUUGCCAUGGUUAUCCGUACUAAUGUAGCUGUUUUCACUUUAGCUAGCAUGUUGCCAAUCAGUGGACUACAUCUGUUUGUCGCAGCGAGUUAAAAUAAGUUAUUCUACUAAUCAGACAUUAGUGAAUGAGACGCGUUUUAAGGACCCAUAAGGAUUGAAUACGGGUGACAUGCGCAGUAGAGUGACUGCUGACGCGACAUGACGUCGACUGACGUUGCUGGAACUUCAACUUCUAUUCAGGCAGCAGGUCUGAACCGGCGUUGUCAGCACAGAUUUAGUGUUCAGGAGUUGGAGGUUGGGUGAAGGCGCUGGUCGACGUCAAUCCUCAGAAAACAACACAAACCAACACGGCGGUUGCCCAGUGUUCCCAGUGUUCCCAGGCUGGUUGAAGUUUUGCCUGGAUGGCGGUGGUGACACCACUGACACUUGAUUCCUCCGCUGAGGUUAGCCCAAAUGGUCUCUGCUUGUCGUUUCCCCAGACACAACACGAGCUGGUGACAGGAUUUGACUUUUCUCACACUUUAGACGAUGUUUCUGUGCAGCUCUGUCUCAGAGUUUGAGCCUCCGGACCACCUUGUAAAGUGCAGCUGUCUUGAGCGUAAGCCCUCCUCCGGCUAAUCCACUUGUAAUGAUACUGUAAUCAUCAGAGAGAAAGCAGCUCUGGUGAAACUUUUCCCAGGAUGCCAGGAUUCUGUAUUAUGAAUGUGACAUCAGGAAACGAGCUUAUGUGUUAUGUAACGUAAUGUUUCACAGUGCUGGAAUGGUUCUCAGUCCAACAAUCAAUGGGAAUGGAUGGAAAGAAAUGGGCGAGAAAACACUGAAGAACUAAAACGUGCAGAAUCAAACUAAACACUUUUUUCACUUCCGAUACUAAUA